rnacentral:misc_RNA from 1 species
GAAUAAGACGGUUUGAUUUGGUUUUGCAAUUGUUUUAUAAUGCAUUAACUUCGGGUGUUAAGCCUGAUGAGUAUAUUUAUACAGCUGUGCUUAAAAGUUUGUGUGAGUUGAAAGAUUUUGAAAAGGCCAAGGAAGUGAUGAAUUGGGUUGAGAGAAGUGGGAUUAAAGUGAGUGUUAUUUUAUACAACAUAUUGAUUCAUGGGCUCUGUAAGGGUGGAAGAGUUUGGGAAGCUGUUGAAAUUA